ACAACAGCGCCAUGUUAUUAGCAUUAGCAUAUUAGCACAAUUAGAUAGCUAACAGUUCUAUGGCUCCAUGGAAUUAGCUGAGUAGUUUCUUCUGUCAAACAAGCCACAAGAUAUGUCCUCAGAUACAGGUGUGCAUAUCGGCUGAUCCAGGUUCUCAAGUAGAGAGGCUGCUACAGUGCCCCCUGUCCCUUCAUCCUGGCAUAGCACCUGAGGCAAUGUGAAUGAUGUUCCAUACCCUGAGCAGUGGAAAGGAGUCCAGAGCGGAGAUCCAGGAGGAGCCCCACAAAGACACAAUUUCAUUCAAACAGCCAUGCAGACGAUGCAGCUCAGGGGAGCUCUUGUCAUACUGGGAGAGAGCAUGGCUUAUAGUGUUAGAGUGGGGAUACCGUUUG